GUUUUGCACAUUCUGCCCGUCAAGCAAGGGAUCAGUUUUAUUGCACUUAGAUAGUUAUAGUUGGCCCUCAAAGCUAACUCGUGUUAAGUCGUAACAAGGUUUUCUGUUCGGAAGUUCAGAAAGGAU
rnacentral:rRNA from 1 species